UAAAUCCUGAAAUGACAACUGGUGAAAAGAAUAGGUGCAAGAAAAUUUUCAAUUUGGUUGGUUUUCAAGCAAACCAAGUUUGGUGAUGAGACUUGGCUAAGUUGGUGCUUGGUGGUGCCAUGAUUUGAAAAUUUAUGAAAGUCUUGGUUUUUUAUUUUUAGGGACUGCAAUGCACUCUUUAAAUCCCCAAAUGAUUACUGGUGCCAAAAUCUAGGGGCAAGAAGAUUUUCAAUUUGGUUGGUUUUCAAGCAAACCUAGUUUGGUUUUGACACUUCGCUAGGAUAUUAUUUGGUGCCAAGAUUUGGAAAUUUUUGAAAGUCUUGGUUUUUGAAAUUUAGGGAUGCAAUGCACACUUUAAAUCCCGAAACGACAACUACUGAAAAGAAUAGGUGCAAGAAAAUUUUCAAUUUGGUUGGUUUUCAAGCAAACCAAGUUUGGUGAUGAGACUUGGCGAGGUUGGUGCUUGGUGCCAAGAUAUAAAAAUUUUUGAAUGCCUUGGUUGUUGAUUUUUAGGGACUGGAAUGCACUCUUUCAAUCGCCAAAUGAUUACUGGUGCCAAAAUCUAGGUGAAAGAAGAUUUUCAAUUUGGUUGGUUUUCAAGCAAACCUGGUUUGGUGAUGAGACUUGCCUAAGUUGGUGCUUGGUGCCAAGAUAUGAAAAUUUAUGAAAGUCUUGUUUUUUAUUUUUAGGGACUGCAAUGCACUCUUUAAAUCCCCAAAUCAUUACUGGUGCCAAACUCUAGCUGCAAGAACAUUUUCAAUAUGGUUGGUUUUCAAGCAAACCUAGUUUGGUUUUCACACUUCGCUAGGAUAUUAUUUGGUUCCAAGAUUUGGAAAUUUUUGAAAGUCUUGGUGUUUGACAUUUAGUGAUGCAAUGUGCACACUUUAAAUCCCGAAAUGUCAAAUGGUGAAAAAAAUAGGUGCAAGAAAAUUGUCAAUUUUUUUGGUUUUCUAGCAAACCAAGUUUGGUGGUGAUGAGACUUGGCUUAGUUGGUGCUUGGUGCCAAGAUUUGAAAAUUUUUGAAAGUCCUUGUUUUUUAUUUUUAGGGACUGCAAUGCACUCUUUAAAUCCCCAGAUGAUUAUUGGUGCGAAAAUCUAGAUGCAAGAAGAUUUUCAAUUUGGUUGGUUUUCAAACACACCUAGUUUGGUUUUGAGACUUCGCUAGGUUAUUGUUUGGUGCCAAGAUUUGGAAAUUUUUGAAAGUCUUUGUUUUUGACAUUUAGGGAUGCAAUGCACACGUUAAAUCCAGAAAUGACAACUGGUGAAAAAAAUAGGUGCAAGAAAAUUUUAAUUUUGGUUGGUUUUCAAGCAAGCCAAGUUUGGUAAUGAGACUUGGCUAGGUUGGUGCUAGGUGCCAAGAUUUGAAAAUUUAUGAAAGUCUUGGAUUUUUAUUUUUAGGGACUGCAAUGCACUCUUCAAAUCCCCAAAUUAUUACUGGUGCCCAAAUCUAGGUGCAAGAAGAUUUUAAAUUUGGUUGGUUUUCAAGCAAACCUAUUUUGGUUUUGAUGACUAGUCACAAAAAAUAGGUGCAAGAAAAUUUUCAAUUUGGUUGGUUUUCAAGCAACCAAGUUUGGUGAUGAGAGUUGCCUAAGUUGGUGCUUGGUGCCAAGAUUUGAAAAUUUUUGAAAGUCUUGGUUUUUUAGACAUUGGGACAAUAAUGCACUAUUUAAAUCCCCAAAUGAUUACUGGUGCCCAAAUCUAGGUGCAAGAUGAUUUUCAAUUUGGAUUGUUUUCAAGCAAACCUAGUUUGGUUUGGACACUUCGCUGGGAUAUUAUUUGGUGCCAAGAUUUAGAAAUUUUUGAAAGUCUUGGUUUUUGACAUUCAGGGAUGCAAUGCACACUUUAAAUCCCGAAAUGACAACUGGUGAAAAGAAUAGGUGCAAGAAAAUUUUCAAUUUGGUUGGUUUUCAAGCAAACCAAGUUUGGUGAUNANACUUGGCUAGGUUGGUGCUUGGUGCCAAGAUUUGAAAAUUUAUGAAAGUCUUGGUUUAUGAUUUUUAGGGACUGCAAUGCAUUCUUUAAAUUCCCAAAUGAUUACUGGUGCCAAAAU
rnacentral:lncRNA from 1 species